GCAUAUCAAUAAGCGGAGGAAAAGAAACUAACAAGGAUUUCCCUUUAGUAACGGCGAGUGAAGUGGGAAAAGCUCAAAUUUUAAAUCACCCGGGUUUCCUUGGUGAAUUGUAAUUUGAAGAAAGUGUUUUGACGUUCGGGUUCGAUUUAAAUCCUUUGGGAUAAGGUAUCAUAGAGGGUUAGAAUCCCGUUUAUGAUUGUUCCUUUGAAUGUCUAUAAUUCACUUUCCAAGAGUCGAGUUGUUUGGGAUUGCAGCUCAAAAAGGGUGGUAAAUUUCACCUAAGGCUAAAUAUAUGCAAGAGACCGAUAGCGAACAAGUACCGUGAGGGAAAGAUGAAAAGAACUUUGAAAAGAGAGUUAAAUAGUACGUGAAAUUGUUGAAAGGGAAACGAUUAAAGUCAGUCAUGUUGGUAGGGAAUCAACUUGAUGGUUUACGGGUUUACUCGUGUUCUUUCGAGUGCACUUCCUUACUUGCUAGUUAGCAUCAAUUUUGGUUAUCAUAUAAAAAUUGAGGGAAGGUGGCUUUUCUUCGGAAAAGUGUUAUAGACCUUGAUUAAUGUGGUGACCGGGAUUGAGGAUUGCAGCGGAUACCCUUUUGGGUUAGUCACCUGGCUUCUGAUGAUUACCCUGCCUUCGAUAGCUUGCUGACGUUGGUGGGACUCGAUUGUCUAGAUGUUAGAGUGAUCAUAAAUUCGCUAAGGAUGCUGACGUAAUGGCUUUAAACGAC
rnacentral:rRNA from 1 species